rnacentral:rRNA from 1 species
UACGUAGGGGGCAAGCGUUGUCCGGAUUUAUUGGGCGUAAAGAGCGUGUAGGCGGCCUGAAAGGUCAGCUGUGAAAACUCGAGGCUCAACCUCGAGACGUCGGUUGAAACCAUCUGGCUAGAGUCCGGAAGAGGAGUGUGGAAUUCCCGGUGUAGCGGUGAAAUGCGCAGAUAUCGGGAAGAACACCCGUGGCGAAGGCGGCACUCUGGGACGGUACUGACACUGAGAAGCGAAAGCGUGGGGAGCGAACAGG